rnacentral:rRNA from 1 species
UACGAAGGGGGCUAGCGUUGCUCGGAAUCACUGGGCGUAAAGCGCACGUAGGCGGCUUCUUAAGUCAGGGGUGAAAUCCUGGAGCUCAACUCCAGAACUGCCUUUUGAUACUGAGGAGCUUGAGUCCGGGAGAGGUGAGUGGAACUGCGAGUGUAGAGGUGAAAAUUCGUAGAUAUUCGCAAGAACACCAGUGGCGAAAGGCGGCUCACUGGCCCGGGUACUGACGCUGAGGUGCGAAAAGCGUGGGGGAGCAAACAGG